rnacentral:lncRNA from 13 species
CAAGGCCCAGGCUUCAGCUCCAGUUUCAGUUCCAGCUCAGGCUCUCAAAGGUGCCCAGGCCCCUACAAAGGCUUCAGAAUAGAUAUCUUUGUCUGCCAAUGUGAGGACAGAAGGACUGGUGUAACUCCCCUGGGGCUGCCAUCUGCAUGGGGCUGGGGUCCUCCUGUGCUAUUUGUACAAAUAAACCUGAGGCAGGAUUUAAAAAUAUAUAUAUAUUUUGUAGAGAUGGGGUCUCGCUAUGUUGCCUAGACUGGUCUCCAACUACUGGGCAACUCCCAAUGUGCGAUUAUAGGCGUGAGCCACUGUGCCUGGCCUCACUGAUGUUUCAUUACAACUUCACUGUGUAGAUGAGGAAAUUGAGGCUCAGAGGCUUGCCAGGGUCCCUCAGUGGGACUGGAGCCUAUUAGACUUCAUAGUCCAGGGAUCUCCUUUUUCCUUCUCAGGGUCUGGUCUCUAACCCCCAUCACCCCUUCAUUCAAUGCCUGGAUUUCUCCAUUUCUCCCUGCCUCUCAGGCCCCACCAAGCGUAGUGCCCUGGCCCCGGGAUUGUUAUGGUGGGACCUCGCACAGCAGACAGCAUCAGUGGCCCCCAGGGAAGAAGUGGCCACCCUGGAUGACAACUUGGUCAAGGGUCCUGAAGAACUGCCCCCUGGAACCAAGAAGCCCCCUGGCUUCCUGCCCACCAAUGAGGACCGUCUGUUUUUCCUGGGGCAGAAGGAGCUGGAGGGGGUGGGCUCCUGGACUGCCUGCAGCGGAUAUGAUGGUGGUCAAGACCAGCGGGAGACAAACCUCUGAGGACCAGCCGCGGGAUUGAUGCCCUGGGAUGGAACCUCAGGAUGGGCCAAUCCCAGACCACGGCUCACAACCUGGGCUCCAAUUGGCUGGAUUGUCUUGUAUGCAAAUGAGUGCAGGACUAUAGGCCCUACCCUGUGGGAAGAGGCAAGGCCCUGCCUCCCGGAGGUCAUGUUUUAAAUCCAGCCUCCUGCUUCAACUGUCCCUAAUAUUAGAUGCUGUAGCCCUGAUGACUCCCCCAAAAUAAAACUGGGUUUUUCUCUAUUUUUUGGGGGGGG